GAGUUUGAUCGUGGCUCAGAUUGAACGCUGGCGGCAUGCCUUACACAUGCAAGUCGAACGGCAGCACGGGAGCUUGCUCCUGGUGGCGAGUGGCGAACGGGUGAGUAAUGCAUCGGAACGUAUCCUGGAGUGGGGGAUAACGUAGCGAAAGUUACGCUAAUACCGCAUAUUCUGUGAGCAGGAAAGCGGGGGACCUUCGGGCCUCGCGCUCUUGGAGCGGCCGAUGUCGGAUUAGCUAGUUGGUGAGGUAAAGGCUCACCAAGGCGACGAUCCGUAGCAGGUCUGAGAGGAUGAUCUGCCACACUGGAACUGAGACACGGUCCAGACUCCUACGGGAGGCAGCAGUGGGGAAUUUUGGACAAUGGGGGCAACCCUGAUCCAGCCAUGCCGCGUGAGUGAAGAAGGCCUCGGUUGUAAGA
rnacentral:rRNA from 1 species